UAGGCGUACGGGUGAGUAACACGUGGAUCAUACACCUUUUAGUGGGGAAUAACUUUGGGAAACCGAAGCUAAUACCGCAUAAGCCCGAGAGGGGAAAGCAGCAAUGCGCUGAAAGAGUAGUCCGCGGCUGAUUAGCUUGUUGGUGAGGUAAUGGCUCACCAAGGCUUUGAUCGGUAGCCGGCCUGAGAGGGCUCACGGCCACACUGGCACUGAAACACGGGCCAG
rnacentral:rRNA from 1 species